rnacentral:lncRNA from 1 species
AUAUUUAGAUGAUGAUGCAUUAGAUGUGAUACCAAAUAAUAAACAUCAAGCAAAUAAGCACAUGUUACAAAUGUUUCAACCUUCGCAACGUAUGAAAAAAGAAACAAAAUUAAAAGAGGAAUGGAAAAUAUAUAAUGGAUAUAUUUAUGUAAAUACGAAAAAGUUAAAAAGAUAUAUUAAAUAUCAUUUAUUAUAUAUUAUUAAAAAUCAUAAAAAAUUGUUUUUUCCUUUACAUGUAUAUGUAAUAAAUGCCAAAUCUAAUGAGGAUGAAUAUUUUUUAUUUAUAAAAUGGGGAACUAUAAAAAAUACAUAUAUUUAUUCAUCUUACAGUUCGCUCAAUCGAGUAUCAAAAAUGAAAGAAUACUUUAAGAAGAGUGAUGAAAGAAUGCUACAAGUGUUAGAAAAACCAAAAGAUAUAUUUUUAUAUAAUAUUAAUGAUAACAAUAAUGACAAUAUUCAUUAUAAUAAUAUGAAUUACUAUGACAACCCAUAUAUGUACAGUAGUAGUAGUACUACUACUGCUAAUAACAUGAAUAUUAAUAAUAGUAAUAACAGGAGCUCUUUUAAUCCUUUGACUGGUAGAAAUACAUAUUUAGAUAAGGACUACUUAUCGGAACGGGGUGGUACAUAUAUGUCUUAUAAUGAUAGGAAUAAAUUAAAAGGCUACAGAGGCGAUUAUUUAAACAUAAAAAAAGGUUAUAACAAUCCGAUAGGUAGUACAGCUACUAGUACUAGUACUACUGCUGAUACUAAUACGUUUACUACUAAUGUUAUGAAUACAAAUGAGGAUUAUUUAAAUAAAACUCCAAUAAAAAAUACGUCAAGAAAUUUUUAUACUUCUCCUAUAGGUGCUACUAUGAAUCAGAACCUAAUGAGUGAUUCAGUACCGCCAUAUAAUUACAAGCAGAAUAGCAAAUAUAAUAAAAAUGAUAUAUAUUACAACGAUUAUUAUAAUAAUAUUACUGACAAUAUACAUAGUAAGAAUAAUAACCAUAAUAACAAUAGAACUAUGGGUAGUAGGGGUUAUUCCAAUGACUCACAUGAUAUCAAGAAACAAGGUGAAGAGAGCAAAACAGGAGGUUGGAAUUAUUUGAAAAAACUAAACAUAUCUAAUAAAAAGAAUGACAAUGAUAUAUUAAAUGAUGCGUACCGAACUGGUAAGUAUCCGUAUAAUAAUAAAACAGAAAAUAUUAAAAUGGAACGUAAAACUGCACACACAUAUAAUUUAGAUAAUGAUUUUAUACCAAAUGAUAUAAAAAAUAGUAAUAAUAUUUAUAAUAUAUCUCCUCCACCUAGUAACAGUAUGAGAUUUAAUAGAUUGCGUGAUGUGUCUGAUCAUUCUAAAAUAAUAAACAAUGAAAAUGCAAAUAUGAAUGAACAUGUAAAUAUAAAUGAUAUAUACUUGAUAAAUAAUAAUAAUAAUAGUCAUACGAGACGUUACACAUCUAAUGAUAUGAAUCGUUAUGAUUCUUAUUUAUUAAAAAAUGAUAUAUAUAAUUUUCGAAAUACGAAUAUCGACACUAAUAAUGAGAAUAGUCGUAGUAAUUAUAUGUACAAUAAUGACAUAUAUAAAACAUCCAAUGAUAGUAACAGUAAUAAUUUUACAAAUGACUUAGAUUAUAAAACUUAUGAUAAAC